CGAGGCGGAGCGCCGAGACGGAACCGGGGACCCACCAGUCCCACCGGCCCGCAUCCACUGGGGCCAAGGGGUGAAUCGGUCCGCCUCGUACCCCCGCGCGGCGGCCUGUAGGGCACGCUUCUCAGCCCGAACCCGACAGCUAACCCGGUAGGCGGCAGGGAGAGAAGGA
rnacentral:sRNA from 2 species